UCGCAAGUCUGAACCGGAAGUGAUCCGCGCCAUCUUAGUAGGUAAGCGUAGAGCAAGGAAUAUGACUUCAUGGCUUCAAGACAAACAAACAGAAAGUAUCUUGCCAUUUUUGAUCAAUGUGCAAGAGAAAGAUAUAUCAACAAAAUCGCUGCUGAGACAAAUAAUGGAAACUUGUUAGACGAUGUGGACAAGCUGCCUCCGAUCUCUUACUAUGACGUAGUUCACUAUUUAGUGAACACAGUGCUAUACCAUGGAGGAGUUACGCCUGAAAUCUAUGGACGCAUACAGGCAACGUUUCAACUGAUUUAUAAAGGACCUACGAACUCUUCAUAUGAAUAACAAGGCUCUGAUGACUGGCAGAAUCUUAAGCACGUGUGGUUGAGCGGAAAUCUGACCCCCGUGUGAUUGUGUGCUUCAGUGCUGGCGCCGUCGUUGGCCGCAGCCGACCAGCUGUUGAGUGAGGGGCAAAGAGUCAAACAGAUAAAGAGGCAGGAGGAGAGGAGGGUGGUGACCUCAACAAGUGAGGAAAUCUCAUCCUAUUAACUUCUCAGAAGGUGACGUUUCCUUUUAGGAGCGUGUGGCGUAAACAGUCAGCAGACGUCCUGGAAGU